GACGAACGCUGGCGGCGUGCUUAACACAUGCAAGUCGAACGGAAAGGCCCUGCUUUUGUGGGGUGCUCGAGUGGCGAACGGGUGAGUAACACGUGAGUAACCUGCCCUUUACUUUGGGAUAACUUCAGGAAACUGGGGCUAAUACCUGCUAGGAGCUCCUGCUGCAUGGUGGGGGUUGGACAGUUUCGGCGGUUGGGGAUGGACUCGCGGCUUAUCAGCUUGUUGGUGGGGUAGUGGCUUACCAAGGCUUUGACGGGUAGCCGGCCUGAGAGGGUGACCGGCCACAUGGGGACUGAGAUACGGCCCAGACUCCAACGGGAGGCAGCAGUGGGGAAUAUGGCACAGUGGGCGGAAGCCUGAGGCAGAAACGCCGCGUGCGGGAUGACGGCCUUCGGGUGGUAAACCGCUUUCGCCUGUGACGAAGCGUGAGUGACGGUAAUGGGUAAAGAAGCACCGGCUAACUACGUG
rnacentral:rRNA from 1 species